GAAUUUAAUAAUUUAUUUAGAAUUUUAGUUUUAAGGGCCGUUAAUAAAAAUAAUUUUUAUUUUAUUAUUGUUUUAGAAAAAAUUUUUUUAAUUAUAGUUAAAUAGUAUAGUGAUAGAAUAUUUUAAAAUUUUAAAAAGAAAAAUUUAUUUUUUGUACCUUGUGUAUCAGGGUUUAUUAAAAAUAAGUUAAAAAUUUAAUAUUCUCGAAUUUAAGAGAGUUAGUUAAUUAUAAAUUUUAUUGUUGAAUAAAUAUUUAAAAUAAUUAAUUGGAAAUGAAACGUUAUUCGUUCUUAAAUAUAUCUAGUUUUUAAAGAAAAAAGUUUAAUUUGUUUAUUUAUAGUUAAAUUAUUAAAUUUUUAAUGAUUUAUUAUUAAUAAGUUAUUUUUAAAGGGAUAAGCUUUUAAAGAAAUUUUUUAUAAUUAAUAUUUAUUUGAGAAUAAGUUUUGGGAUUAUAAAUUUCUAUAAAUAAAAAUUUGUUAUAAUUUAUUAUUUUAAUUUUAAUAUUUUUAUUAAGUUUAAAUUUUAUAUUUAAAUAUUUAAUUUAAUUUAAAAGUUUAAGGUAUAAUGAUAGAAUUAGUAUAGAAAAUUGUAGAGUUAAAUUUUAUUAUUAAGGUAAUUUUAAGGAACUCGGCAAAUACAUUUUUCACCUGUUUAUUAAAAACAUGUCCUUUUGAUUAUAAUUUAAGGUCUGAUCUGCCCCCUGAGUAUUUAAAUGGCCGCGGUAUUUUGACCGUGCAAAGGUAGCAUAAUAAUUAGUUUUUUAAUUGAAAGCUGGAAUGAAUGAUUUCAUGAAAAAAUAGCUGUCUCAGAUUUAUUUAUUUUAAAAAUUUAUUUUUAAGUUAAAAAGCUUAAAUUUAAUUAAAAGACGAGAAGACCCUAUAGAGUUUAAUAUUUAAAUAAAUAAGAUAUUUUUAGGUUUAAUUUUUUUAUUUAUAAAGAAU
rnacentral:rRNA from 1 species